CACUUACAGAACUGUCCCCAUACGUCUGUUGCAACAUCACACCAGGUCACUAGGAGACAUUUACUGGCUAUGUGGGGACUUGCAGUUAAGAUCCAGACUGGAGACUGACUGGUGGGGGGAGUGUACCUUGGCCAAGGUUAUCAUGCCCAUCCACAUUAUUUCUGACAAUCAUCCCGGCGCCCACGAUUCCCCACAGACGUUAG